UACAGAGGUCUCGAGCGUUAGGCGGAAUCACUGGGCUUAAAGCGUGUGUAGGCGGAUCGUUAAGUACCUUGUGAAAUCCCACGGCUUAACCGUGGAAUUGCUGGGUAUACUGGCGGUCUUGAGCCACUUAGGGGCUACCGGAACAAAUGGUGGAGCGGUGAAAUGCGUAGAUAUCAUUUGGAACGCCAAUGGUGAAAACAGGUAGCUGGGAGUGUGGCUGACGCUGAGACACGAAAGCCAGGGGAGCAAACGGG
rnacentral:rRNA from 1 species